rnacentral:tRNA from 1 species
GUCAGAUGGUAAAAGUGUCUGCCUACAAAGCAGAAGACCCAGGUUCAAUCCCUGG